rnacentral:rRNA from 1 species
GACGGAGGAUGCAAGUGUUAUCCGGAAUCACUGGGCGUAAAGCGUCUGUAGGUUGUCAAAUAAGUCAACUGUUAAAUCUUGAGGCUCAACUUCAAAAUCGCAGUCGAAACUAUUAGACUAGAGUAUAGUAGGGGUAAAGGGAAUUCCAGUGGAGCGGUGAAAUGCGUAGAGAUUGGAAAGAACACCGAUGGCGAAGGCACUUUACUGGGCUAUUACUGACACUCAGAGACGAAAGCUAGGGUAGCAAAUGGG